rnacentral:rRNA from 1 species
CUACGGGACGCUGCAGUGGGGAACAUUGGACAAUGGGGGAAACCCUGAUCCAGCAAUGCCGCGUGUGUGAAGAAGGCCUGCGGGUUGUAAAGCACUUUCGGUUGGGAGGACUGCUUCUAGCACUAAUAUUGUUGGAAGUUGACGUUACCUUCAGAAGAAGCACCGGCUAACUCCGUGCCAGCAGCCGCGGUAAUACGGAGGGUGCAUGCGUUAAUCGGAAUUACUGGGCGUAAAGCGCGCGUAGGCGGCUAGAUCAGUCGGGUGUGAAAGCCCCGGGCUUAACCUGGGAACUGCAUCCGAUACUGUCUAGCUUGAGUACAGGAGAGGAGAGUGGAAUUCCACAUGUAGCGGUGAAAUGCGUAGAUAUGUGGAGGAACACCAAUGGCGAAGGCAGCUCUCUGGCCUGAUACUGACGCUGAGGUGCGAAAGCGUGGGGAGCAAACAGGAUUAGAUACCCGCGUAGUC